UACGUAGGGGCUAGCGUUGUCCGGAUUUAUUGGGCGUAAAGCGCGUGUAGGCGGCUAAGUAGGUCCGCUGUGAAAACUCGAGGCUUAACCUCGAGCCGUCGGUGGAAACCUUUGGCUAGAGUCCGGGAAGAGGAGAGCGGAAUUCCCGGUGUAGCGGUGAAAUGCGCAGAUAUCGGGAAGAACACCCGUGGCGAAGGCGGCUCUCUGGGACGGUACUGACGCUGAGACGCGAAAAGCGGUGGGGAGCAAACAGGGAUUAAGAA
rnacentral:rRNA from 1 species